AUUGAACGCUGGCGGCAGGCCUAACACAUGCAAGUCGAGCGAGCGGCGGACGGGUGAGUACUGUCUGGGAAACUGCCUGAUGGAGGGGGAUAACUACGGGAAACGGUAGCUAAUACCGCAUACCAUCAGAUGUGCCCAGAUGGGAUUAGCUAGUAGGUGGGGUAACGGCUCACCUAGGCGACGAUCCCUAGCUGGUCUGAGAGGAUGACCAGCCACACUGGAACUGAGACACGGUCCAGACUCCUACGGGAGGCAGCAGUGGGGAAUAUUGCACAAUGGGCGAAAGCCUGAUCCAGCCAUGCCGCGUGUGUGAAGAAGGCCUUCGGGUUGUAAAGCACUUUUAGCGGGGAGGCGUUACCCGAAGAAGAAGCAACGGCUAACUCCGUGCCAGCAGCCGCGGUAAUUC
rnacentral:rRNA from 1 species